rnacentral:misc_RNA from 1 species
AAUUCUCAACCGUGUCUCGAUUGAUUUCGAGCGCACGGCUUGGAUUGUGGGGGUUGCUGGCGAUGCGAGUCGUCGGCUCUCCUGAAAUGCAUUAGCAAAGGCGAGCCCCUUCGUGCACGGCCUUCGACGUGAUAAUGAUCGUCGCGGCUGGAGCGAGAGGCAUGAAUCGUCAGAGCUUAUAAUCUUGGAAUCCGAGUCGAAAGACUCCGGAUCGCUCUCGAA